AGUCGAGCGGCAGCGCGGGGCAACCUGGCGGCGAGCGGCGAACGGGUGAGUAAUGCAUCGGAACAUGUCCAUUCGUGGGGGAUAGCCCGGCGAAAGCCGGAUUAAUACCGCAUACGCCCGAGAGGGGAAAGUGGGGGACCGCAAGGCCUCACGCGAUUGGGUUGGCCGAUGUCCGAUUAGCUAGUUGGCGGGGUAAAGGCCCACCAAGGCGAUGAUCGGUAGCUGGUCUGAGAGGAUGAUCAGCCACACUGGGACUGAGACACGGCCCAGACUCCUACGGGAGGCAGCAGUGGGGAAUUUUGGACAAUGGGGGAAACCCUGAUCCAGCCAUUCCGCGUGAGUGAAGAAGGCCUUCGGGUUGUAAAGCUCUUUCGUCCGGAACGAAACGGUUGUGGUGAAUAGCCCCGACUACUGACGGUACCGGAAGAAUAAGCACCGGCUAACUACAUGCCAGCAGCCGCGGUAAUACGUAGGGUGCGAGCGUUAAUCGGAAUUACUGGGCGUAAAGCGUGCGCAGGCGGUUUUGUAAGCCAGAUGUGAAAUCCCCGGGCUUAACCUGGGAAUGGCAUUUGGGACUGCAAGGCUUGAGUGCGGCAGAGGAGACUGGAAUUCCCGGUGUAGCAGUGAAAUGCGUAGAUAUCGGGAGGAAUACCGAUGGCGAAGGCAGGUCUCUGGGCUGACACUGACGCUCAUGCACGAAAGCGUGGGGAGCAAACAGGAUUAGAUACCCUGGUAGUCCACGCCCUAAACGAUGUCGACUGGUUGUUGGGGGUUUGACACUCUCAGUAACGAAGCUAACGCGUGAAGUCGACCGCCUGGGGGAGUACGGCCGCAAGGUUUAAAAACUCAAAGG
rnacentral:rRNA from 1 species